GUUCCCAUCGAUUAGUGGUCAGAUCAUCACGUUGUGGACUUGCUCCGGCGAGCGCAAAACCGUGGAGACGGGGGCUCGACUCCCCCUGGGAACA